AAUUAACUCAACAAAAUUAUUUGCCAGAGAACUACUAGCAAUAGCUUAAAACUCAAAGGACUUGGCGGUGCUUUAUACCCCUCUAGAGGAGCCUGUUCUAUAAUCGAUAAACCCCGAUAAACCUCACCACUUCUUGCUAAAUCAGUCUAUAUACCGCCAUCCUCAGCAAACCCUUUAAGGGAAGAAAAGUAAGCACAAUAAUUAACGCAUAAAAAAGUUAGGUCAAGGUGUAACCUAUGAAGUGGGAAGAAAUGGGCUACAUUUUCUAAACAAGAACAUUAUGCACGAAAGCUUCCAUGAAAUUAGAAGCCAAAGGUGGAUUUAGUAGUAAAUCGAGAAUAGAGAGCUUGAUUGAACAGGGCCAUGAAGCACGCACACACCGCCCGUCACCCUCCUCAAGCAAUGUAAGCUAAAUAUAACAUAUAACGAGCAAAUCAAUGCAAGAGGAGACAAGUCGCUAACAAGGUAAGCGUACUGGAAAGUGUGCUUGGAUUAA
rnacentral:rRNA from 1 species